AUGGCGCCUGCCUUUCCAGCCCAUUACUCCCCAUCACCGGCCCAUCGUGCAGACCUCAGCUCACUGGGCUGGGGAGCUUUAUGUCACCGCAGCCCUCGGAAGUUAUCAGAGAUUUCACCUGAACCAAGUCCGCUGGAACCCCCAGGCAACGCGACUCCUCUCCUGCACCUGCAUCUGCUCCCAAGAGCUGACAACCAUCCACUUCUUGAGAUCCAGAAAAGAACCUGUUUCAACAAAUCAACCCCCUAGAUUCAUUUGCUUCAAUCCUCUUGUAAAACUAAUAAAAAUGCAAAGUAUUACCAUAAUUAAAGUUUUAAAAUUAUACCAAAA
rnacentral:lncRNA from 1 species